GGUGAACAAUAGAAGGCAGCAUCCACGUGACCCUGCGUUCCCGGAUGUUGGUUCCCUAAGUUGGUUUCCAACUGUCCCUAUGAGGCUACUGAAUACCUAGUGUGUCACGUGAUUGGGGAGGUUUCUUCCCUGUAUUACUGCCGGAAUAUGCAGCAGAAACCACGUGAUUCUAAACGCCGUCUCUCCGCUUCGGAAUGGCGCACGUCUGUGAUCGAGCUGCCAUCGGUGAUGACGAUCGUCGCUGCGAAUUUUGCAGCAAACUAUUCAUACAGAGGAAGAACAUGCUGUAACACAUCAGGAACGUUCACAGAAUGGCCGUGGAUGUCAAGAAAUUGAUGAAAUGCGACGUAUGUGGCACUUCCCUGCCUACAAUGGAGAAGUAUUCGGUGCACCAGAUCGCUGCGCACAACUUCGAGGCUGACUACGUGCACCUGUGUUCCGGAACAAUAAGGAAUUUCAUGAAUGGAAAGCAGCCAAAACUGCUGGUUCAUUUUGCCCAGGGACCCCAAAAAACUGGCCAGUGGAGAGACAAGGAUCCACUAUUACUGUAAUAGAUCAGGCGAGGCAAGGAAAAAGGAAGGUCGUGGUGACCGUCGGGAGAAAAGUCAGGGGAGCUGUAGGUCUGAUCUUGUGCUGUGAGAUGAGGAGGUGUAAAAUAAAAACACCGUGUAGAUUUCACAAUGCCUUUAAGAAACCACGCAAAGCUUGGAGAUGAAGCAUUACAUGCAACUUGAACCAAGUGUCUGGACACAGCAAGUGAAAGUUGUUUUGUCAUGAGUGAGGGUGUCGGCGUUACUUGUAACUGCCUUUA